rnacentral:rRNA from 1 species
AGUGAACGCUGGCGGCAUGCCUAACACAUGCAAGUCGAACGGAAACGCAGGAGCGCUUGCCGUCGGGCGGGCGACGGGCGGGUGAGUGAGGCGUACAUCCCCAUCCGUCGAGUCUGGGGGGACUACGGGGGGACACUUACGCUAACACAUCGUAGGACCUGCGGGUGGGAGAGGGGGGUCGCGAGACGGCGGGCGGGUGUAUGCGCGGGUGUCGGAUUAGAUAGUUGGCGGGGUAAUCGCCCACCGAGGUGAAGAUGUGUAGCGGGUCUGAGAGUAUGAUCAGCGACACUGGAACUGAGACACGGACCAGACUCCUACGGGAGGCAGCAGUGGGGAAUAUUGGACAAUGGGCGCAAGCCUGAUCCAGCCAUGCCGCGUGGGGGAAGAAGGCCUUCGGGUUGUAAAGCCCUUUUUUUGGGAAAGAAACGCUUUCGCCUAAUACCCGGGGAGGAUGACGGUACCGAAAGAAUAAGCACCGGCUAACUACGUG